rnacentral:pre_miRNA from 1 species
AGUAUGAUAACUGGAUCAAAUGGUGGUUCCAUUCCAAGUUUUUGAGCAGUCUCCAUGCUGCUUUCCAUAGUGGUUGCACCAAUUUGCAAUCCCACUAGCAAU